rnacentral:lncRNA from 1 species
CGGAUUUUUUUUUGAGUGAGUCUCAUGUUUUCAGUUCAACAAGCAGCAGAAAGCUGCAUGAGCUUGCUGGUAACAGGCAGAAGGAGGACUACUCAAGGUCCACCCCUUUCUCUGUCUAAGCUUUUCUUCCCCUGCAUCACAUUGUGUCCCACACAGCUGGCUCGUCUGAUUUGCUAGUCACUAGGUCUAAGAAGGGAGUAGAGGAGCGUAAGGUAAUAAAACUAAGAAGAUAAUGAAGUAGGGGGGAGCAAAGGAACAAAGAAAAUAAUUUUACAAAACAAUUUUAGGAGAGUUGUGAACGUGGGAAGUUCGCAACUACUCACUUGUUCAUGUCUCUCCAGGUCACAGUGCAUCAACCAGAUGAAGGAAUUAAAAGAACAAUGUGAAGAAAGGAUAAAUGAGAUCUCAAAAAAAGACAGUGAUGUACCACAAGUCAAAGAAAAUAAAGGCUUAGAAGGUUCAAAAAGAAGCAACCAGGCUGAUGGUCAGUUGCCAGCUCCGAAACAACCUGAGUUCAAGCAGACUGAUUUGGAACAGCAGAGAGCCAGUGAAGAUGUGCCAAAUGCAGUGCCUACAAUAAAAAGGACAGAUGCUCUGCAGCCUAAUGAAAGAGCAAAUGGCCUCACUGCCAUCAGAAAAGAGGGCUCCAAAGCAGAGGAGGAGAAGCUUUCCGUUGAACUGAAACACCCACAGGGUUUGGCUGUGGCUGGCACAGGCCGUAAGGAGGUGCCCCCCGAAUCAGAGAAAGAACUGAAUCCAGCUGAAGAUGGAAAAAGCAUAGCUGAGCAAGAGGCACCACAGCCAGCUGCACAGCAGAUUGCUGACGAGGAGGUGGAGAGGGAGCAGCUCCUCAAUUACGAUGCUAAGCAGAGUGACUCGCCUCCUGGACAGGCUGGUUAG